GGGGGUAUAGCUCAGUUGGUAGAGUAGAUGUCUUACAAGCAUUAGGUCACUGGUUCAAGUCCAGUUACUCCCA
rnacentral:tRNA from 1 species